rnacentral:rRNA from 1 species
CCUACGGGGGGCAGCAGUGAGGAAUAUUGGUCAAUGGACGAGAGUCUGAACCAGCCAAGUAGUGUGAAGGAUGACUGCCCUAUGGGUUGUAAACUUCUUUUAUAUGGGAAUAAAACGUUCCACGUGUGGGAUUUUGUAUGUACCAUAUGAAUAAGGAUCGGCUAACUCCGUGCCAGCAGCCGCGGUAAUACGGAGGAUCCGAGCGUUAUCCGGAUUUAUUGGGUUUAAAGGGAGCGUAGGUGGAUUGUUAAGUCAGUUGUGAAAGUUUGCGGCUCAACCGUAAAAUUGCAGUUGAAACUGGCAGUCUUGAGUACAGUAGAGGUGGGCGGAAUUCGUGGUGUAGCGGUGAAAUGCUUAGAUAUCACGAAGAACUCCGAUUGCGAAGGCAGUUCACUGGACUGCAACUGACACUGAGGCUCGAAAGUGUGGGUAUCAAACAGGAUUAGAUACCCUUGUAGUC